CUUCACCGACCCCAACCACAACGGACGAUCCUCCGAACGCCCCUGCCCGUACACCGCCAACAACGCCUGCGCCUC
rfam:Streptomyces pratensis ATCC 33331, complete genome.